GAUGAACGCUGGCGGCGUGCCUAAUACAUGCAAGUCGAGCGAACAGAUGAGGAGCUUGCUCCUCUGACGUUAGCGGCGGACGGGUGAGUAACACGUGGAUAACCUACCUAUAAGACUUGGAUAACUUCGGGAAACCGGAGCUAAUACCGGAUAAUAUAUUGAACCGCAUGGUUCAAUAGUGAAAGACGGUUUUGCUGUCACUUAUAGAUGGAUCCGCGCCGCAUUAGCUAGUUGGUAAGGUAACGGCUUACCAAGGCAACGAUGCGUAGCCGACCUGAGAGGGUGAGCGGCCCCACUGGAACUGAGACACGGUCCAGACUCCUACGGGAGGCAGCAGUAGGGAAUCUUCCGCAAUGGGCGAAAGCCUGACGGAGCAACGCCGCGUGAGUGAUGAAGGUCUUCGGAUCGUAAAACUCUGUUAUUAGGGAAGAACAAAUGUGUAAGUAACUAUGCACGUCUUGACGGUACCUAAUCAGAAAGCCACGGCUAACUACGUG
rnacentral:rRNA from 1 species